rfam:Sporolactobacillus inulinus CASD NODE_229, whole genome shotgun sequence.
AAAGGCGUGCACGUCCUGUGCACAACACGGAAGUCACCGCAUCCUGCGGA